rnacentral:rRNA from 1 species
ACGUGAACCACUGGUGGCGAAGCGGAUAGAGUUGAUUAAGCUGGUAGUAAUCAGCAUUGAGCGUGUUGCUGCUGCUGUGUGUGUGUUGCGCGGUCCGCGUAGCAUUUCAUGGCUGGCUGGCGCGGCUCGGUGUGCAUUUGCGAUCGGCUAACGCUGAGGCUCUUGGCUGCCCCUUCUGAAGUGCUGCGUGUUGCCCACCCUCGGGUGGUGUCUUGCGCGGUGCGGAGGUUGUUUGUGGCGGCUGAGUGAGUGAAGUGCAUCGCCUUUGCGCAUGUGUUCGCUAGCGUGCGUUUGGUAGUAGCGGUGACUUGUCACUUGUUGCUGCUAUAGCGUACGUGUUGUGGGCGCGUGCUUGCGUGUGCAUCUUCGGCGUGACCGUCAACCACCUAUCCGACCCGUCUUGAAACACGGACCAAGAAGUGUAGUAUUUGCGCGAGUCAUUGGGUGCAAAACCUAAAGGCGAAAUGAAAGUAAAGGUGGCCUUGUGCUGCUGAUAUGUGAUCCGUGUGUUUUCGAAUGCGCGGCGCAACAUAGCCCCAUGCCGGCUGCUUGCAGCGGUGUGGCGGUAGAG